UUAAGAAGAAGAUAAAAUUACGUUGAAACGUGGCAAGUGGACAUUGGACCACAAAUGAAGAAAACGGUGCAGGUGCACCUGUAUAUUGGAUCGAAAGCCGCAAAGAGGAAGCAAUGAGCUUCAUCUCUUUGUCUCAACCAAACACCAUCUUUCUCUUAACUUUUGAUUUGGAAGUCCGAAUUUGAUUCCGCUUUGGUGGGGAAGAGUACUACAAAUCUCAGGGACUCCAGUUACCACGAUGGUUGUGUUUAAUCGAGGUGUUGGUAAAGGACAUUGUUUGCUUGCUUUGGACUUCAGGUUUACAAACUAAACAGUCUAAGAGGAUAGAUGGGAUGAGAACGAAUUAGAUGUGAGGCUAGUAUUGUAUUUAUUUAUUUUUAGCCUUGUAAAGAAUUAUGGAUUUCUUUUUAUAAGAGGAAUUUUAUUUUUCAUUCCGUUAUUUCAGUUUUAUUUUAUUUAUUUAGUUUUUAGCUCACGUUUGGGAUUCAGAGUUAUUUUUCCACCAACCUCGGGUUCAGGGCAUCACAAAAUAUUUCUCAUGUUGUAUAAGCCCAUGACAAUCACAUGCCGAAUCAAUGCUGCUCUGAAUUCCAAAGAAUUUGGACCGUACAUGAGUCAUGAUGCAAACAGCAACAGCAACAUCAUGGGUCUCUACAUAAUUAUCGGUUUUCUUUUUGGAACCAGCUAGUGCAAUGGGAAUGUUCAACAAACCAUGCAUUGCAUGUAACUAAAAGUUCGUUCGACUGUUUUAUUCUGUACAACUCAUUUCCCACAUCUAGUUCAAAUAAAACACAAUACAUUGACAAA
rnacentral:sRNA from 1 species